rnacentral:tRNA from 1 species
GCCGAGAUGGCUGAAGGCGGCGGUUUGCUAAACCGUUAUACGAUUGAAAAGUCGUAUCGAGGGUUCGAAUCCCUCUCUCUCCGCCA